rnacentral:rRNA from 1 species
UAGAGGAGGCAGCAGGGAAUAUUGCGCAAUGGGCGAAAGCCUGACGCAGCAACGCCGCGUGGGGGAUGAAGGCCUUCGGGUUGUAAACCCCUUUCAGGAGGGAAGAAAUUGACGGUACCUCCAGAAGAAGCCCCGGCCAACUACGUGCCAGCAGCCGCGGUAAUACGUAGGGGGCAAGCGUUGUCCGGAAUCAUUGGGCGUAAAGAGCUCGUAGGCGGCUCAGUAAGUCGGCUGUGAAAUACCGGGGCUCAACCCCGGAACUGCAGUCGAUACUGCUGUGGCUAGAGUCCGGUAGAGGAGAGUGGAAUUCCCGGUGUAGCGGUGGAAUGCGCAGAUAUCGGGAGGAACACCAGUAGCGAAGGCGGCUCUCUGGGCCGGUACUGACGCUGAGGAGCGAAAGCGUGGGGAGCAAACAGGAUUAGAUACCCUGGUAGUCCACGCCGUAAACGUUGGGCACUAGGUGUGGCGAUUCGAUCAACGGUUGCCGUGCCGAAGC